rnacentral:rRNA from 1 species
ACGGGAGGCAGCAGUGGGGAAUAUUGCACAAUGGGGGAAACCCUGAUGCAGCGACGCCGCGUGAGCGAUGAAGUAUUUCGGUAUGUAAAGCUCUAUCAGCAGGGAAGAUAAUGACGGUACCUGACUAAGAAGCCCCGGCUAACUACGUGCCAGCAGCCGCGGUAAUACGUAGGGGGCAAGCGUUAUCCGGAUUUACUGGGUGUAAAGGGAGCGCAGGCGGUUUUUUAAGUCUGAUGUGAAAGCCCGCGGCUCAACUGCGGGACUGCAUUGGAAACUGUAUAGCUAGAGUGUCGGAGAGGUGAGUGGAAUUCCCAGUGUAGCGGUGAAAUGCGUAGAUAUUGGGAGGAACACCGGAGGCGAAGGCGGCUCACUGGACGAUUACUGACGUUGAGGCUCGAAAGCGUGGGGAGCAAACAGGAUUAGAUACCCUGGUA